GGUGUGGUGGUAUAGCGGUUUAUUCACUUGACUCUUAAUCAAAGGGUUGAAGGUUCGAAUCCCAGCACUG
rnacentral:tRNA from 1 species